AACGAACGCUGGCGGCAGGCCUAACACAUGCAAGUCGAACGGUUGUAGCAAUACAGCCGUGGCGCACGGGUGAGUAACGCGUGGGAAUCAGCCCAGUAGUACGGAAUAACAGUUGGAAACGACUGACAAUACCGUAUACGCACUUCGGGGGAAAGUUUUUGGAUAUUGGAUGAGCCCGCGUCAGCUUAGCUGGUUGGUGGGGUAAUGGCCUACCAAGGCGACGAUCUGUAGCUGUUCUGAGAGGAAGACCAGCCACACUGGAACUGAGACACGGUCCAGACUCCUACGGUAGGCAGCGGUGGGGAAUAUUGGACAAUGGGCGAAAGCCUGAUCCGGCCAUGCCGCGUGAGUGAUGAAGGCCUUAGGGUUGUAAAGCUCUUUUGGCGGGUAAGAUAAUGACGGUACCCGCAGAAUAAGUUCCGGCUAACUUCGUGCCAGCCGCCGCCGCUG
rnacentral:rRNA from 1 species